UACAGAGGGUGCUAGCGUUGUUCGGAAUCAUUGGGCGUAAGGGCGUGUAGGCGGUUUGUUAAGUCAUGUGUGAAAUCCCUCGGCUCAACCGAGGAAAGACGCAUGAAACUGGCAAGCUAGAGUACCGAAGAGGGGGGUGGAAUUCCCGGUGUAGCGGUGAAAUGCGUAGAUAUUCGGAAGAACACCAGUGGCGAAGGCGGCUCACUGGACCGGUAUUGACGCUGAGGUGCGAAAGCGUGGGGAGCAAACAGG
rnacentral:rRNA from 1 species